AUUGAACGCUGGCGGCAUGCCUUACACAUGCAAGUCGAACGGUAACAGGUCUUCGGAUGCUGACGAGUGGCGCACGGGUGAGUAAUACAUCGGAACGUGCCCGAUCGUGGGGGAUAACGAGGCGAAAGCUUUGCUAAUACCGCAUACGAUCUACGGAUGAAAGCGGGGGAUCUUCGGACCUCGCGCGGACGGAGCGGCCGAUGGCAGAUUAGGUAGUUGGUGGGAUAAAAGCUUACCAAGCCGACGAUCUGUAGCUGGUCUGAGAGGAUGAUCAGCCACACUGGGACUGAGACACGGCCCAGACUCCUACGGGAGGCAGCAGUGGGGAAUUUUGGACAAUGGGCGAAAGCCUGAUCCAGCCAUGCCGCGUGCAGGAUGAAGGCCUUCGGGUUGUAAACUGCUUUUGUACGGAACGAAAAGCCUCUUUCUAAUAAAGAGGGGUCAUGACGGUACCGUAAGAAUAAGCACCGGCUAACUACGU
rnacentral:rRNA from 1 species